GGGCAAAACUUCUCAAUUUGUGUGCUAUUAUAAAAUACUAUUUAGAUUAUUGUAUACAUUUUUUCAUUUACAUAAUCACAUACAGUGUAGCGUAUUUGUUGUACAUUGGCCAUGGAGUCAAAAAAUAAUUGAAGUCCUCCAAGGGGUUUAUCCAAGUGGAUGAGGUGUUUUCCAUGGGAAGGAUUAAAUAGACUUACAUACUCGGAAUGUUUGUUCACAGAUAUGGGUG
rnacentral:lncRNA from 1 species